UACGAAGGGGGGCUAGCGUUGCUCGGAAUCACUGGGCGUAAAGCGCACGUAGGCGGCUUUCUAAGUCAGGGGUGAAAUCCUGGAGCUCAACUCCAGAACUGCCUUUGAUACUGGGGAGCUCGAGUCCGGAAGAGGUGAGUGGAACUCCGAGUGUAGAGGUGAAAUUCGUAGAUAUUCGGAAGAACACCAGUGGCGAAGGCGGCUCACUGGUCCGGUACUGACGCUGAGGUGCGAAAGCGUGGGGAGCAAACAGGG
rnacentral:rRNA from 1 species